AAUGAUUGUGCCUGAAAAAGGAAUAUUUUGAUAGAAUAAAUCAUAUAAAAUUUAAUUUUUAUCAUCAUUA
rnacentral:tRNA from 1 species